rnacentral:rRNA from 1 species
CUUGCCCUACGGGGCGCAGCAGUGAGGAAUAUUGGUCAAUGGACGCAAGUCUGAACCAGCCAAGUCGCGUGAGGGAUGACGGCCCUACGGGUUGUAAACCUCUUUUGUCGGGGAGCAAAGAGAGUCACGUGUGGCUCAUUGAGAGUACCCGAAGAAAAAGCAUCGGCUAACUCCGUGCCAGCAGCCGCGGUAAUACGGAGGAUGCGAGCGUUAUCCGGAUUUAUUGGGUUUAAAGGGUGCGCAGGCGGAGGGGCAAGUCAGUGGUCAAAUUGCGGGGCUCAACCCCGUACUGCCGUUGAAA